AUGUUCUGGCUUAAAUAAAAUGCAUUAUUAAAACUGUCGAAUAUUUUCCUUUUUAAAUUGGAUUACUAGAAAAUUAAAUUAGAUAUAUGGCUCACGUUUGUGGCUUGUGUUACAGGUCUAAUGGACAGCACUGGCUCAGAGAACUACGGUCCUGAAAUUUCAAUUAUAAACCUACAAAAGCUUGAAAACAAAGGAUUUGGUGGAGAAAAUGAGUUCCUAACACCCUCAGAGGUAUGCAAAUAUGAUUUAUCCUGGGAAAGAGAGCAAUAUAUAUGGCAAUUUCUUUAAAAGUAAAACAAGAAGCCUUCUUAAGCAAUGGAAAACUAGUCUCAUCAAAUCCAGGUAAGAGUUUGGUGCAGAAGAGAGAAAUGAAAAUAGUUUAGUGAACUUUAGCAGAGGAAACAGAAAGGAACAAAUGAGUAUGAGGGCCUCGACCUUGGAUAAGAUUCUGCAGUGUUGCUCACUAGCCACAUAACCCAGGGUGAGAGCGUGUAAACUCCCUGCACCUCCACGUCCUCUCUCAGAACAGAAAUGACAGUAUACUUCUCCCUCAGGGUUAUUAGCUAACAUUUAUUAAGUACUUAUGUGGAUCUUUGUAGAUGCUAUUGUCAUCCCAACAGUGCAGAUUAAGGAGACAGACACACAAAAAGGCUAAGUGAUAUGCCUGUGGCCACACAGCUGAGAGGUGGUGGCAGUGAAAUCUCACCCGUCUUAGUCUGAACCCCCUUCUCAUGGGAGCAUUUAAUCACUGCUCUAUACUAAGAUCAGACGUUCACUGAUGAUGAUAGUGAACUUAGAGCACGUUAUCAAGAUCCUCGAGGAAGGGAACAUGUUUUUACUGUUGUUGUAAGAGCAGGACAGAGCACUGAAAGGAUAUCGAAUUUAAAAUUACACGGUGCUCCAUUAGGUCAAAAGAGAGAGCCCAAAAGAUGAGAAGGAAACCAUGAAGACUUUAGAAACUUGGCUGUAUGAGCAAUGUCCUUGAGUCUGAAAAAAAAUGAGAGUUCAGGGAAAAUAUCAUCAAAAGUUAUCCUACGAAAGAUGAAGCCAAAAGAAUUCUGGCCUCACAGAUAAAAAGAUUUAAAAUCUGCUUCUACCUGCUCAAUAUAAUGAGUGACAGAGGUCUCCCCAGUUCUUCCCAAACUGCUCUGCAUCCUUAGGCUCACCUCUGUAGACCCAGCUCUGUAGACUUGACCCAGAUCAAGUCACAGUAUCUUUAUUUAAGGUUAACCAUAAAAUUUCAUAGACAGAACUAUUUACAUAAAGAGUUGUUGCUUUGUUAUGUCUUGUUUUUGUGAGGCCCAUCAGGGCACUGCGUAGGAGGCAGAGAGGGAGCCAAAUGCAGUGCAAGGUGAGGGCCUACUCCUAGUGGGGGUAAGCCGCUUCCAGGAAUGGCCCCUAGGAGUUUCCCAAGGGUGUAACUGGGUCCAGCCGCUGGAUGACCUCGAUUCUAAACACCCGCCCCACACAAUGUCACGUCACCGCAUAACAGCUAGGUCUCAGUAACUAGCCAAGCUGGUUCCUCAGCAAGAGCCACGAUUAUUCUCGACAAACUUUUUCUUGUUCAAUUUGACAUGAAAAUUAAAGUUGUAUUAGCACAAUUUCUCACAUUCAAGAGCAUGUGAAUGGCAUUCUCAGUGCUCUCCUAUGGCACGCCCAGCUGAGCCCAGCUUUUCUUACUUGCUUUGUUUUCAUGAGUAAUUUCAAUGAGUCAGGGGGCAGGUUUUGGAGGCUCUUUGCCAGAGCUGAAAACUAAGUUUUGCGUUUCCCAAAAGCCCACCAUUAAUUUGGUUUUCAUUGUCCAAAGGAAAAUCUGAAGCCAAGGAGCUGGGCUUCUCUGGGUCAAGCAGCGUGACUGGAACUUCUUUUUGAACUUUUUAAACAGAUCAGCUGUUCUUCCAGAUCCCUCCUGUGGGAAGGCAAUUUUCCAUUUGAACCUUCUUAAUCUACAAAAGAGGAAGCAAAUCCAGACAAAGGAAGGGAGUUCCCUCGUGUCCACAGUGAGUGAUUAACAAAUUAGGGAUGAAGAAGAGGAUGGAUCAAGGGGAAUGUAGAUGAAAGUGCUCCAAAACUAUGAGAGCAAAUAAAGAAACACAAAACACAGAGGCCCUGUGGACUCUGAACCAGACGUUGCCCGGCUGGUGUGUGUUUGCAAUUGCAUUUGUUUUUCAGUGCUUGCUUGGAGUGACAAAUCUGAUGCCUCUUCAUGUCCUCUUCACAUCCAGGGUAGAUGAUUCUUUUAUCUCUCGGAAGCCUGGGUCCUGAUUCACACGCAUCAGAGCAGCUGCAGUGUGACUCUCUUCUCCACCUUUGCUACACACUGUGCAGGCCACAGUGCUGCAUGACCGAAAGCGGAGAGUGCCCACCGAUGGGCAAAGACUGGGUUUACAUUUCUUCCAACACUUCCUAAAAAUGCACUGUAAACCCUGGGUGCCAAAUAAGUGUUCCCAGGUGACACUCUCGGUGCCCAUCCCUUCAACCAUGCCAGGGAUGGACAGGGACCAGAAUAUCAAGAGAGAACAUGGAUCGUGGAAACACAACUUCUUUUGUGCCUCAACAUCUUUUUAAAAAUACUUAAGUUGUAUGAACACAUGACAGAAAACACAGUGUUUGGUGUCAUCUUUAAGUCAUCUUGGGUGGGGAAAAUGUCAAGAAUCUAGCACUUUGGAUGCAUUAGAAGAGUGAUGGGAAGAGCUUCCCUGUUCUUUCAGGUCCUGAGUUCAAAUCCUUUGCAACUGUCUGAUCAACGUGACCUUGUGGCUUCUACUGUUGGGGUGUAUUGGGAAGAUGAAACGAGAUGAUCUCUGGAAGUCUCGGGAAGUCCUUUGCAAAAUACCCAUUCCUUUUCCUCAAGGACAAUCAGUAGCAACCUAUCCCUGGAAGCCUCUUAAGCCUGUCCCUACAGCAGAGCCGUGAGGAACAAGACUCUCUUUGUUCAAAUCCCUGAUUGUCCACCAACCAGCUGCCUAACACGGGGGAAAGUUGUUGAACUACUCUGAGUCUUGCUUUCUAUGUUUUAUAAAUGGGGAUAAUUACAGCUUCCACCUCAUUAAGGUUGUAGUGAGGAUGGAUUGAGAUAAUUUAUGGAAAGUGCUGAGCACUCUGUGUGCAUAUAGUAAAUGCUCAGUACACAUCAGCCAUUAUAAUAAUGCUGCCCCUAGUGCCAGCUGCAGCAUCGCUGCCCCAAAACCCUCCCUGCCAGUUUCCCUGUUUAGAAUCUCUGCCCCUUUCUUUCAGUUAUUCUCAUUGCUGGUCCAGGAAUCAUUUAAUAAAGCAUUGGACACAUCACCCCCCUCUGCUCUAAACUCUAGCGUUUGUGUCUGCAUGGAUCCUUCUUAAGAAUGCUGAGAUGUGAUGGUCCGAAGGCACCAUGCCAAGUGAUUUGUGGAAGAGGAUUUGAGAGCCAGACCAUUUUAGGUCUGGAAAGGGCCCAAAAGGCCACUUUACAGAUGAGGAAACUGAGGUUAAUUGGCUUGCCCAAGGCCACACAGCUAUUUAUCAGAACUCCAGGGUUUUACUAGGCUGGUCUGCCUAGAAGGAGGGAACCACGGGGCAAGCCUAUUAGGGAAAAUUGGUCAGCAGUUGGCUGCAAACUUGCUGACAGGUAAUCUUUCUCCAUUCAUGAGAAAUGAGACGGAAGUCAGGCACCCAAUAGAAAAGAACGCAAGGCGGGCCUCUCUGUAAGUGAAAACUGGGUCCCUCUCUGGCUUCAGGGCAGGGCACAGCAGGAACCCUCACUUUAAAGAUGCGUCCUCUCAGGCCACAUUAGUCUCCUGACUAAUGCUCCCAAACGCACUGUGGAGAUUUGCUGAAGCUGAAGCUUCUCUGCAAGGUUUGCAGGAGGAAUGGCGAUGAAUAAAACACCAAUACAUUACUCCAAAGGCGAGCAGGCCCAGUUCUAACUGCCAAAUUACAAUUCUUACUCUAAGAUAUUAAUACUAACAGUGACACUACAUUUGUAGAGUGCUUUUUAGGUUCCCAAUAAUAAUAAUAAUGAAAACUACAUCUUAUACUAAAGCAGUGUCUAUGUAUGAAGUACAUACCGGAGUGAGGCACUUCAAGAGCAAGCUCCCUUCGCAACUGGGAUAUUUUAGGGAAAAGUCUUGUGAAUUUUAAUUGUUUGCAUAAAGGACCCUUGAUUUUCAAUUUGGACUUGGAACUUAAAUACAGUUUUGCCGCUUUGUCAGUGAAAUAUUUUGUAAAACCUUUAACUAUGUUGUUAAAUAUUUAAAACCUUUAAAUAUGCAUGCUUUAAUAAGUUAGACAAUGGAAAAAUGGUAACU
rnacentral:lncRNA from 1 species